rnacentral:rRNA from 1 species
UACGUAGGUGACCAGCGUUGUCCGGAUGUACUGGGCGUAAAGAGCGCGCAGGCGGUCGUUCAAGUCGAGUGUGAAAGCCCCCGGCUCAACUGGGGAGGGUCACUCGAUACUGAUCGACUGGAAGGCAGGAGAGGGAAGCGGAAUUCCCGGUGUAGUGGUGAAAUGCGUAGAUAUCGGGAGGAACACCAGUGGCGAAGGCGGCUUCCUGGCCUGUUCUUGACGCUGAGGCGCGAAAGCUAGGGGAGCAAACGGG